GACAUUUUAAGCCGCCGAGCUUGUGCUUAUUCGUCACAGCAAUGGCAAGAAACUCAUAGACGCCAUCUGUGAUGGGAGAGGCAACCUGGUUGUCACGCUCUUGCUGGCUUCCCCCAGGUCCUCAUUCCAUCUUGGCCUCUAUGAGUCUGAAGCCUUCGGUCAACUGUGGCUUAGCAGAAUGGCACCCGCUCGAGAAGAGGGAGUGAGACCAGGUGACCUUUAAAUGAUCUUGUUGACUUUGAUGGUCAAGGACAGCGUCAGACAAACUGUGGUCCCCGGAUUGGUGCUGGUGUGUGAGCUGCUGGGAAGAGAGCAUCCGCCCUGCCCUACCCCACCUGCUGGCUCCACCUCCUGGGGGGAGGAGCGAAAGAAACGUAGCGUCGAGGUCCGCACACCCCCAUUCUCCGACCCCGUGCCCGGGAAGCGUGUGAUGUCUUCUCGUAACUCCCGAGAGUUGCUGGGCCUCCUGCUUCCAGGACCGGCUCCGCUCCGUGAUCCUGUGUCUGGACGCGUUAUUUUCACUUUUCUUCACGUCCGUCGAGCGCGGAUUCCAGCCGCCUCCCUCGGUGCCCCCGCCAGCCGCACGGGCGCUUGCACACGAGCCGGGAACCCGAGCUGCUGCAUCCUCUCCAUGUUGGAUCAGACUGAAUCGCUGCAGGUUUCUUUCGGGAGGAAGGUCGACGUCGGCGGAGGACCUGUUAGGUGCUAAGCAAGGCGCCAAGUGCCGCAUCUCC
rnacentral:lncRNA from 12 species